GACGAACGCUGGCGGCGUGCUUAACACAUGCAAGUCGAACGGUAAGGCCCUUCGGGGUACACGAGUGGCGAACGGGUGAGUAACACGUGGGUGAUCUGCCCUGCACUUCGGGAUAAGCCUGGGAAACUGGGUCUAAUACCGGAUAGGACCAUGGACUUCACGGUUUGUGGUGGAAAGCUUUUGCGGUGUGGGAUGGGCCCGCGGCCUAUCAGCUUGUUGGUGGGGUAAUGGCCUACCAAGGCGACGACGGGUAGCCGGCCUGAGAGGGUGUCCGGCCACACUGGGACUGAGAUACGGCCCAGACUCCUACGGGAGGCAGCAGUGGGGAAUAUUGCACAAUGGGCGCAAGCCUGAUGCAGCGACGCCGCGUGAGGGAUGACGGCCUUCGGGUUGU
rnacentral:rRNA from 1 species